rnacentral:rRNA from 1 species
UACGGGGGGGGCAAGCGUUGUUCGGAAUUACUGGGCGUAAAGGGUCUGUAGGUGGCUUGCUAAGUCAGACGUGAAAUCCCCGGGCUCAACCCGGGAACUGCGUCCGAUACUGGGAGGCUUGAAUCCGGGAGAGGGAUGUGGAAUUCCAGGUGUAGCGGUGAAAUGCGUAGAUAUCUGGAGGAACACCGGUGGCGAAGGCGGCAUCCUGGACCGGUAUUGACGCUGAGGCGCGAAAGCCAGGGGAGCAAACGGG